AUUGCCCCAGUAACGGCGAGUGAAGCGGCAACAGCUCAAAUUUGAAAUCUGGCCCCCCCGGGGCCCGAGUUGUAAUUUGCAGAGGAUGCUUCGGGCGCGGCGGCCUUCUGAGUCCCCUGGAACGGGGCGCCGCAGAGGGUGAGAGCCCCGUACCGUCGGCCGCCAAGCCCGUGUGAAGCUCCUUCGACGAGUCGAGUAGUUUGGGAAUGCUGCUCAAAAUGGGAGGUAAAUUUCUUCUAAAGCUAAAUACCGGCUAGAGACCGAUAGCGCACAAGUAGAGUGAUCGAAAGAUGAAAAGCACUUUGAAAAGAGGGUUAAACAGCACGUGAAAUUGUUGAAAGGGAAGCGCCUGUGGCCAGACGUGCGCCGGGCGGAUCACCCAGCGUUCUCGCUGGUGCACUCCGCCCGGCGCAGGCCAGCAUCGGUUCCCGCGGGGGGACAAAAGCGCCGGGAACGUAGCUCCCCCCGGGGAGUGUUAUAGCCCGGGGCACAAUGCCCCCGCGGGGACCGAGGUCCGCGCCCUGCAAGGAUGCUGGCGUAAUGGCCACCGGCGACCCGUCUUGAAACACGGACCAAGGAGUCAAGGUUCUGCGCGAGUGUUUGGGUGUCAAACCCGCACGCGUAAUGAAAGUGAACGUGGGUGAGAGCUUCGGCGCAUCACCGACCGAUCCUGAUGUACUCGGAUGGAUUUGAGUAGGAGCGUAGUGCCUUGGACCCGAAAGGUAUGCCCGAUCCCCUCCCUCCCCCCCACCCCCCACAGCGAAGCGUGUACUAACGGACCCCCCGCAGAUGGUGAACUAUGCUUGGAUAGGGUGAAGCCAGAGGAAACUCUGGUGGAGGCUCGCAGCGGUCUGACGUGCAAAUCGAUCGUCAAAUCUGAGCAUGGGGGCGAAAGAGUAAUCGAACCAUCUAGUAGCU
rnacentral:rRNA from 1 species